rnacentral:lncRNA from 1 species
UGAGGAUGUGGCUUGUUUCAGCAAGUUGAUUUCCUGCUGUGCCGGAUUCCAAGGCAGAUGAAACUGGGCCCUGGGAGAGCUUUAUGUAAAGUCUCUUCUCUGCUUUGGCUGAGAUGCUCCCAGAAUACCCUUGUCUCUUUCUCGUGCUUUUAAGUGAAGUCUGUAUUAUACCCUCUGCUUCCAGCUUGCAGAAGCAGUGAUCACUGGCAGUCUCACUUGGAUGUCUCACCAAGAGGUUGAUGAGGAAGAUCUGACCAGUGUUACCCAAAGCAGUAUGGUAUUAAGCUCAGUUGGCUUGAGUGCACUAAGACACUGGAUCACAGU